rnacentral:rRNA from 1 species
GACGAACGCUGGCGGCGUGCUUAACACAUGCAAGUCGAACGGUAAGGCCCCUCGGGGUACACGAGUGGCGAACGGGUGAGUAACACGUGGGUGAUCUGCCCUGCACUUCGGGAUAAGCCUGGGAAACUGGGUCUAAUACCGGAUAGGACCACUGCCUGCAUGGGUGGUGGUGGAAAGCUUUUGCGGUGUGGGAUGGGCCCGCGGCCUAUCAGCUUGUUGGUGGGGUGAUGGCCUACCAAGGCGACGACGGGUAGCCGGCCUGAGAGGGUGACCGGCCACACUGGGACGGGGAUACGGCCCAGACUCCUACGGGAGGCAGCAGUGGGGAAUAGUGCACAAUGGGCGCAAGCCUGAUGCAGCGACGCCGCGUGAGGGAUGACGGCCUUCGGGUUGUAAACCUCUUUCAGCACCGACGAAGCGCAAGUGACGGUAGGUGCAGAAGAAGGACCGGCCAACUACGUGCCAGCCGCCGCCGUAA